GCCCGCCUAGCUCAAUCGGCCAGAGCGUCAGACUUUUAAGAAACAUCAUCUGAAGGCUGCGAGUUCGACCCUCGCGGUGGGCU